rnacentral:lncRNA from 1 species
UUCAAAAGAGUGAUUGCUUAGCAUGCUUAGUAAAAUGUACUUUAAUAAUAUGUGACAAAUACUUUUAUAAAAAAAAUAAUAAGGAAAUCUUGAUAUUCUCCUGUCUUUCUUUAAAGCCUAUCUCCUAUUACUUAUAGAAAAUUCAUUUUCAGUCCCAUCUGUUGAUGUUGGUUUAUUUUUUGGUUGUAAAUACCACUUCAUUUCACAACCUGGCCCACUAGUGUCAGGUUGUUUCCUGUUGCAACUGUUAACAAUGCUUUCCUACAUAUAUAUAUAUAUAGCUAUCAAUAGAUGGUUUUCAAGUCAAUUUAAGGUAGCAAAUCUAAUGACACAGCCAACUUUUGAGCAAAAG